CCAGUCGGCCGGACGGCCGCUGCCGGGGUGUUCAGGCGUUAUGGCCAGCAACCCCGGUGGAGGAAAGUCCGGGCUCCAUGGAAGCACGGUGGCGGCUAACGGCCGCCGGGGGCGACCCCAGGGAAAGUGCCACAGAGAACAGACCGCCAAGGCCGGCUUCGGCCAAGGCAAGGGUGAAACGGGGCGGUAAGAGCGCACCGCGCGGACGGUAACGGACGCGGCACGGCAAACCCCACCGGGAGCAAGACCAAAUAGGGAUGGCGCGGCCUGCGGCAAACGCCGGCCGGGGCCCGUUUCCAGCCCCUGCCAUCCGGGUUGGUUGCCCGAGGCGUCCAGCAAUGGACGUCCCAGACGAAUGGCCGUCGCGGAGGCGCGAGCCUCCAGACAGAACCCGGCUUACAGGCCGACUGGCGCU
rnacentral:RNase_P_RNA from 1 species